CCCAGGACAAGCCUCGACGUUGCGGCAUGGAGCGGCAGAAGAAUGAUAGGAGCCUUCCAGACCUCCUCAGGCUGGCCACUCCACAAACUGGGAGCCAC